GGAACUUGGCUCAGUGGUAGAACAUCUGCUUUGCAUCCAGAAGGUUCUAGCUUCAAUCCCCGGCAUCCCCA